rnacentral:rRNA from 1 species
GAGGAUGCGAGCGUUAUCCGGAUUUAUUGGGUUUAAAGGGUGCGCAGGCUGUCUGUCAAGUCAGCGGUAAAAUAGCGGGGCUCAACCCCGUCGAGCCGUUGAAACUGACAGGCUAGAGUGAGCGAGAAGUAUGCGGAAUGCGUGGUGUAGCGGUGAAAUGCAUAGAUAUCACGCAGAACUCCGAUUGCGAAGGCAGCAUACCGGCGCUCAACUGACGCUCAGGCACGAAAGCGUGGGUAUCGAA